UCUGUCUAACCCUAAAUAUGGAGUGGACAUAGGCGCUGAGCUUAUUCCCUGCGUGCUGUUUUUCUUGCUGACUUUCAGCAUGCGAGAAAGCUUUGGUCUACCUUCUACUACUGUCUUAAUUAAACGCAAAAAUAAUAAUAAU
rnacentral:sRNA from 1 species